rnacentral:rRNA from 1 species
UACGUAGGGAGCGAGCGUUGUCCGGAAUUACUGGGUGUAAAGGGAGCGUAGGCGGGACUGCAAGUUGGGUGUCAAAUCUACCGGCUCAACCGGUAGCCGCACUCAAAACUGCAGUUCUUGAGUGAAGUAGAGGCAGGCGGAAUUCCUAGUGUAGCGGUGAAAUGCGUAGAUAUUAGGAGGAACACCAGUGGCGAAGGCGGCCUGCUGGGCUUUCACUGACGCUGAGGCUCGAAAGUGUGGGGAGCAAACAGG